UACGUAGGGGGCAAGCGUUGUCCGGAUUUAUUGGGCGUAAAGAGCGUGUAGGCGGCCAUGCAGGUCCGCUGUGAAAACUCGAGGCUCAACCUCGAGACGCCGAUGGAAACCGCAUGGCUAGAGUACGGAAGAGGAGAGUGGAAUUCCUGGUGUAGCGGUGAAAUGCGCAGAUAUCAGGAAGAACACCCGUGGCUAAGGCGGCUCGCUAGUACGUGACUGACGCUGAGACGCGAAAGCGUGGGGAGCGAACAGG
rnacentral:rRNA from 1 species